AUUGAACGCUGGCGGCAUGCCUUACACAUGCAAGUCGAACGGCAGCAUGGAGAGCUUGCUCUCUGAUGGCGAGUGGCGAACGGGUGAGUAAAGCAUCGGAACGUACCGUGUAGUGGGGGAUAACGUAGCGAAAGUUACGCUAAUACCGCAUACGCACUGAGGUGGAAAGCAGGGGAUCGCAAGACCUUGCGCUGUAGGAGCGGCCGAUGUCAGAUUAGCUAGUUGGUAGGGUAAAGGCCUACCAAGGCGACGAUCUGUAGCGGGUCUGAGAGGAGGAUCAGCAGCACGGGGACGGGGACAAGGCCCAGAAUUGUGCGGGAGGCAGAGCUGGGGAAAUUUGGACAAUGGGGGGAGGCCGGUACUGGCCAAUGCGGGUGACUGAAGAGGGGCUUCGGGGUGUAAAGCACGUUCGUUUGCGAAGAAAAUACUUGGUUUAUUACCCUAGGAAGAUGACGGUACCAGAAUAAGAAGCACCGGCUAACUACGUGCCAGCAGCCGCCGUAA
rnacentral:rRNA from 1 species